UACGUAGGAGGCGAGCGUUUGUCCGGAUUUAUUGGGCGUAAAGAGCGCGCAGGCGGCACAUCAAGUACGCAGUGAAAUCUCCCUGCUCAACGGGGAGGGCGCAGCGUAAACUGGUGAGCUAGAGGACGGUAGAGGGGGGGUAGAAUUCCACGUGUAGCAGUGAAAUGCGUAGAGAUGUGGAGGAAUACCGAUGGCGAAGGCAGCCCCCCUGGGAUAACACUGACGCUCAUGCACGAAAAGCGUGGGGGAGCAAACAGG
rnacentral:rRNA from 1 species